rnacentral:rRNA from 1 species
AUUGAACGCUAGCGGGAUGCCUUACACAUGCAAGUCGGACGGAGUGGCGAACGGGUGAGUAAUGUCUCGGAACGUGCCCAGUAGCGGGGGAUAACUACGCGAAAGCGUAGCUAAUACCGCAUACUAUUGGAGCGGCCGAUUUCGGAUUAGCUAGUUGGUGGGGUAAGGGCUCACCAAGGCGACGAUCCGUAGCUGGUGUGAGAGGAAGAACAGCCACACUGGAACUGAGACACGGCCCAGACUCCUACGGGAGGCAGCAGUGGGGAAUUUUGGACAAUGGGGGAAACCCUGAGCCAGCCAUCCCGCGUGUGCGAUGAAGGCCUUCGGGUUGUAAAGCACUUUUGGCAGGAAAGCGGUACCUGCAGAAUAAGCACCGGCUAACUACGUGCCAGCAGCCGCGGUAAUUC